rnacentral:rRNA from 1 species
AGAGUUUGAUCAUGGCUCAGGAUGAAUGCUGGCUGUAUGGAUAAGGCAUGCAAGUCGAACGGACCGCAAGGUCAGUGGCAGACGAGGUAGUAACACGUACGAACGUACUCCCAAGUCGGGCAUAGCCAACCGAAAGGUUGGGUAAUUCCCGAUAGUCCCUACGGGGUAAAGAUUUAUCGCUUGGGAAGCGGCGUGCGUAAUAUCAGCUUGUUGGUGAGGUAAUGGCUCACCAAGGCUACGACGUUUAGGGGAGCUGAGAGGCUGACCCCCACCGAUGGGACUGAGACACGGCCCAUACUCCUACGGGAGGCCGCAGUCGAGAAUCUUCCGCAAUGGACGAAAGUCUGACGGAGCGAUACAGCGUGGUGGAUGAAGUGCUUCGGUACGUAAACACCUUUUAUGUGGGACGAAAUUAUUGACGGUACCACAUGAAUAAGGGGCUCCUAACUCUGUGCCAGCAGGAGCGGUAAUACAGAGGCCCCAAGCAUUAUCCGGAAUCACUGGGCGUAAAGGGUGUCAAGGCGGUCAUGUUAGUCGUUCGUAAAAUCCGUGGGCUCAACCUACGGCUCGCGAGCGAAACGGCAUGACUUGAGGUUGGAAGAGGUGCGUGGAACUCACGGUGUAGGGGUGAAAUCCGUUGAUAUCGUGGGGAACACCAAAGGCGAAGGCAGCGCACUGGUCCAAAUCUGACGCUCACACACGAAAGCCAGGGUAGCGAACGGGAUUAGAUACCCCCGUAGUCC